rnacentral:rRNA from 1 species
GUGCCAGCAGCCGCGGUAAUACGGAGGGGGCUAGCGUUGUUCGGAAUUACUGGGCGUAAAGCGCACGUAGGCGGUUACUCAAGUCAGAGGUGAAAGCCCGGAGCUCAACUUCGGAAUUGCCUUUGAAACUAGGUGACUUGAACACGGGAGAGGUGAGUGGAAUUCCGAGUGUAGAGGUGAAAUUCGUAGAUAUUCGGAAGAACACCAGUGGCGAAGGCGGCUCACUGGACCGUUGUUGACGCUGAGGUGCGAAAGCGUGGGGAGCAAACAGGAUUAGAUACCCCCGUAGUCC